rnacentral:rRNA from 1 species
GACGUAGGAGGCGAGCGUUGUCCGGAUUCACUGGGCGUAAAGCGCACGUAGGCGGCUUUCUAAGUCAGGGGUGAAAUCCUGGAGCUCAAACUCCAGAACUGCCUUUGAUACUGGAGAGCUCGAGUCCGGAAGAGGUGAGUGGAACUCCGAGUGUAGAGGUGAAAUUCGUAGAUAUUCGGAAGAACACCAGUGGCGAAGGCGGCUCACUGGUCCGGUACUGACGCUGAUGUGCGAAAGCGUGGGGAGCAAACAGG